ACUUAUUUAGUAUAACUAGUAUCUUUGACUUCCAAUCAGAAGGUCUAAACUUAGUUUAGAAUAAGUA
rnacentral:tRNA from 1 species